AAUAAGAUGCCUGAAAAAAGGUUUAUUUUGAUAGAAUAAAAAAUGUACUAAGUACUCUUAUUA
rnacentral:tRNA from 1 species